rnacentral:piRNA from 1 species
UAAACCAAGAACAGGCUAUACAGGGAGAA